rnacentral:rRNA from 1 species
UACAGAGACUGCAAGCGUUAUUCGGAUUCACUGGGCGUAAAGGGUGCGCAGGCGGCCAAGUGUGUGAGGCGUGAAAGCCCGGGGCUUAACUCCGGAAUUGCACCUCAAACUACAUGGCUAGAGCAUUGGAGAGGGUAGCAGAAUUCACGGUGUAGCAGUGAAAUGCGUAGAUAUCGUGAGGAAUACCAGAGGCGAAGGCGGCUACCUGGACAAUUGCUGACGCUCAGACACGAAAGCGUGGGGAGCAAAAGGG